AAAGGUGUGCUAAUACCGCAUAAUCUCUCAGGAGAAAAGCAGGGGAUCGCAAGACCUUGCGCUUUAGGAGCGGCCGAUGCCUGAUUAGCUUGUUGGUAAGGUAAAAGCUUACCAAGGCUUCGAUCAGUAGCUGGUCUGAGAGGACGACCAGCCACACUGGGACUGAGACACGGCCCAGACUCCUACGGGAGGCAGCAGUGGGGAAUUUUGGACAAUGGGGGAAACCCUGAUCCAGCCAUGCCGCGUGAGUGAAGAAGGCCUUCGGGUUGUAAAGCUCUUUCAGCCGGAACGAAACGGUUACGAUUAAUACUCGUAAUUAAUGACGGUACCGGCAGAAGAAGCACCGGCUAACUACGUGCCAGCAGCCGCGGUAAUACGUAGGGUGCGAGCGUUAAUCGGAAUUACUGGGCGUAAAGGGUCCGCAGGUUGUUUUGUAAGUCAGAUGUGAAAGCCCCGGGCUUAACCUGGGAACUGCGUCUGAAACUACAAGGCUAGAGUAUGGCAGAGGGGGGUGGAAUUCCGCGUGUAGCAGUGAAAUGCGUAGAUAUGUGGAGGAACACCGAUGGCGAAGGCAGCCCCCUGGGUCAAUACUGACGCUGAGGGACGAAAGCAUGGGGAGCAAACAGGAUUAGAUACCCUGGUAGUCCAUGCCCUAAACGAUGUCAACUAGUUGUCGGGCCUUUACGGGCUUGGUAACGUAGCUAACGCGUGAAGUUGACCGCCUGGGGAGUACGAUCGCAAGAUUAAAACUCAAAUGAAUUGACGGGGACCCGCACAAGCGGUGGAUUAUGUGGAUUAAUUCGAUGCAACGCGAAAAACCUUACCUACCCUUGACAUGUAUCGAAGCCCGCAGAAAAGCGGAGGUGCCCGAAAGGGAACGAUAACACAGGUGCUGCAUGGCUGUCGUCAGCUCGUGUCGUGAGAUGUUGGGUUGAGUCCCGCAACGAGCGCAACCCUUGUCAUUAAUUGCCAUCAUUUAGUUGGGCACUUUAAUGAGACUGCCGGUGACGAACCGGAGGAAGGUGGGGAUGACGUCAAGUCCUCAUGGCCCUUA
rnacentral:rRNA from 1 species